rnacentral:rRNA from 1 species
CUCUUUUUGAGAUAAAUCAUUCAAGUUUCUGCCCUAUCAGCUUUCGAUGGUAGUGUAUUGGACUACCAUGGCAGUAACGGGUAACGAAGAAUUAGGGUUCGAUUUCGGAGAGGGAGCAUGAGAAACGGCUACCACAUCUAAGGAAGGCAGCAGGCGCGUAAAUUACCCAAUCCUGACUCAGGGAGGUAGUGACAAGAAAUAGCAAACCGGGAACCUCAUGGUUUCACGGUAUUGCAAUGAGAACAAUUUAAAACCCUUAGCGAGAAUCAAGUGGAGGACAAGUCUGGUGCCAGCACCCGCGGUAAUUCCAGCUCCACUAGCGUAUAUUAAUGUUGUUGCAGUUAAAAAGCUCGUAGUUGAACCUCUGUCUGGGGCUAGUUUUGGCUUUGGUCAGGCUAGUUCUAGGCAUCCGCCUACAAGACUUAGAGGGCAUUCAGUUGUUCACUAGGAGGAGUAGGCAUUUUACUUUGAAAAAAUUAGAGUGUUUAAGGCAGGCAAUCGCCCGCAUAUAUUAGCAUGGAAUAAUAGAAUAGGACACUUUUCCAUUUCGUUGGUUAUUGGAAUCGUGUAAUGAUUAAUAGGGACAGUUGUGGGCAUUUGUAUUUAAUUGUCAGAGGUGAAAUUCUUGGAUUUAUUAAAGACAAACUAACGCGAAAGCAUUUGCCAAGGAUGUUUUCAUUAAUCAAGAACGAAAGUUAGGGGAUCAAAGACGAUCAGAUACCGUCCUAGUCUUAACUAUAAACUAUUCCGACUCAAUGUUUGACUGGCUUAUAUAACCAGUUGAGCGUUGUAUGAGAAAUCAAAGUCUUUAGGUUCUGGGGGGAGUAUGGUUGCAAAGCUGAAACUUAAAGGAAUUGACGGAAGAGCACAACCAGGAGUGGAUUCUGCGGCUUAAUUUGACUCAACACGGGGAAACUUACCAGGUUAAAACAAUAGUGGGAUUGACAGUUUGAGAGCGCUUUCUUGAUUGGUUGGGUGGUGGUGCAUGGCCGUUCUUAGUUGGUGGAGUGAUUUGUCUGCUUAAUUGCGUUAACGAACGAGACCUUAACCUGCUUACUAGACUGGCGAUCAUCAAUCGUUAGCUCUUCUUAGAGGGACUUUGGUUGUUUUAACUCCAAGGAAGUUUGAGGCAAUAACAGGUCUGUGAUGCCCUUAGAUAUCCUGGGCCGCACGCGUCAUACAAUGACUAGUUCAGAAAGUUUUCUCCUGACCCGAAAGGGGAUGGGUAAUCUUGAUAAUACUAGUCGUGUUAGGGAUCGAUCUUUGCAAUUAUAGAUCUUGAACGAGGAAUUCCUAGUAAGUGCGGUUCAUCAGACCGUACUGAUUACGUCCCUGCUCUUUGUACACACCGCCCGUCGCUUCUACCGAGUGGGUGGUCCGGUGA